CAGCCGCGUUUUAGGGUCCGACGUUAAUCGGAAUUACUGGGCGUAAAGGCAGGGUUUGUUAAGCGGAUGUGAAAGCCGGGCUUACCCUGAACUGCAUUUCGAACUGGCAAACUAGAGUGUGAUAGAGGGUGUAGAUCAGGUGU
rnacentral:rRNA from 1 species